rnacentral:lncRNA from 1 species
CAACCCUGGUGGAAUUGGCAUAGAAUGUGGGGAACCGUGUUUAGGAGCAUCUGGAGUUUUUCUAGUACUAGGGGUAGAAUGCUGGGACUCGCAGUUCAGAAACAUCUGGAAAAUCGCCAUUUGAUAACGAGUGUUUUUACUUGAAUGCUGUUAGUAUACAGCAUACACAAGAGAAAAGAUAAAUAAGAGGCUUACUUCUCAGAUAGGGUUUAAACUGCUAGUAGUAUUCUAAUUAACUGCCAUUCCAGCCACCAAGGCAAAGAUUGCUCGUGCACAAGGGCAGUGAUUAAAGUGGUAUUGGCUGAAAGAGGGGAGCCGCAUGAGGUGGUAUGAUCUGUACUUUCGUGAGUAGACAUGUAAGACUGUAGCCUGGAUCCAUGAAUAUUCCUCACCCAAGGACCAGUAGGGGAGCUCGUGAAACAUAUUCCCUUAGAAGGGAAAAUCCUGCUCGUCCUCUGUGGAGGGACAGCUUAGUAUCUCUCCUUGAAGCUCCAUCCUUUGCUGUUCUGCUGUCAACAGUGCACAAGUAUUCACUUCUACACUGCACGCCCAGCAAAGCAAUUCAUGGCAUGUUCAGAAGGGUCUUGAGCCACAUUUUUCAACCCCAAGAAGCCUCAUCCUUCACCAGUUCUUACAGAAGGUCUAUAGAGAAUAGAGGACAAGGACACAAGAUCAAAUGCACAUGUGUACCACCCACAAGACCUCCACAGCAUCCAACUCCAAAACCUAGGCAGUUCUCAGAAAAGUCCAAGGGUCUGCAAUGGGCAGAGAUGCAAGUGAACAUCCCAGAAGAAAUACACUGCUAUGGGGUGCUGCAGAUGGAACUCCAUUCUAACUCAACCAACUUGAAGGAACCUGUUCACUGUCAUCUGCCACUCUCAGGAUGGGUGGCUGCGAUGGGAAAACCUGAAAGAUGAGACAUGCGCCU